ACUGACUGGCCCUUGUGUAUUCGUCUCUCUCUCUCUUUCUGUUUCUCUCUCUUUCUGUUUCUCUCUCUUUCUGUUUCUCUCUCUUUCUGUUUCUCUCUCUUCCUGUUUCUCUCUCUUUCUGUUUCUCUCUCUUUCUGUUUCUCUCUCUUUCUGUUUUUCUCUCUUCCUGUUUCUCUCUCUUUCUGUUUCUCUCUCUUCCUGUUUCUCUCUCUUUCUGUUUCUCUCUCUUUCUGUUUCUCUCUCUUCCUGUUUUUCUCUCUUCCUGUUUCUCUCUCUUUCUGUUUCUCUCUCUUUCUGUUUCUCUCUCUUUCUGUUUUUCUCUCUUUCUGUUUCUCUCUCUUUCUGUUUCUCUCUCUUUCUGUUUUUCUCUCUUUCUGUUUCUCUCUCUUUCUGUUUCUCUCUCUUUCUGUUUCUCUCUCUUCCUGUUUCUCUCUCUUUCUGUUUCUCUCUCUUUCUGUUUCUCUCUCUUCCUGUUUCUCUCUCUUUCUGUUUCUCUCUCUUUCUGUUUCUCUCUCUUCCGGUUUUUCUCUCUUCCUGUUUCUCUCUCUUUCUGUUUCUCUCUCUUCCUGUUUUUCUCUCUUCCUGUUUCUCUCUCUUCCUGUUUCUCUCUCUUUCUGUUUCUCUCUCUUUCUGUUUCUCUCUCUUUCUGUUUCUCUCUCUUCCUGUUUCUCUCUCUUUCUGUUUCUCUCUCUUUCUGUUUCUCUCUCUUUCUGUUUCUCUCUCUUCCUGUUUUUCUCUCUUCCUGUUUCUCUCUCUUCCUGUUUUUCUCUCUUUCUGUUUCUCUCUCUUUCUGUUUCUCUCUCUUUCUGUUUCUCUCUCUUUCUGUUUCUCUCUCUUUCUGUUUCUCUCUCUUCCUGUUUCUCUCUCUUUCUGUUUCUCUCUCUUUCUGUUUCUCUCUCUUUCUGUUUCUCUCUCUUUCUGUUUCUCUCUCUUUCUGUUUCUCUCUCUUCCUGUUUCUCUCUCUUUCUGUUUUUCUCUCUUCCUGUUUCUCUCUCUUUCUGUUUCUCUCUCUUUCUGUUUCUCUCUCUUCCUGUUUUUCUCUCUUUCUGUUUCUCUCUCUUCCUGUUUCUCUCUCUUUCUGUUUCUCUCUUUCUGUUUCUCUCUCUUUCUGUUUCUCUCUCUUUCUGUUUCUCUCUCUUUCUGUUUUUCUCUCUUUCUGUUUCUCUCUCUUUCUGUUUCUCUCUCUUUCUGUUUCUCUCUCUUUCUGUUUCUCUCUCUUUCUGUUUCUCUCUCUUUCUGUUUCUCUCUCUUCCUGUUUUUCUCUCUUUCUGUUUCUCUCUCUUUUUGUUUCUCUCUCUUCCUGUUUUUCUCUCUUCCUGUUUUUCUCUCUUUCUGUUUCUCUCUCUUUCUGUUUCUCUCUCUUUCUGUUUUUCUCUCUUUCUGUUUCUCUCUCUUUCUGUUUCUCUCUCUUUCUGUUUCUCUCUUUCUGUUUCUCUCUCUUUCUGUUUUUCUCUCUUUCUGUUUCUCUCUCUUUCUGUUUCUCUCUCUUCCUGUUUCUCUCUCUUCCUGUUUUUCUCUCUUCCUGUUUCUCUCUCUUCCUGUUUCUCUCUCUUCCUGUUUCUUUUUUUUCUGAUUCUCUUUCACCCUGUCCCUUUCUUUUGUGUGUGUGUGUGUGUGUGUGUGUGUGUGUGUGUGUGUGUGUGUGUGUGUGUGUGUGUGUGUGUGUGUGUGUGUGUGUGUGUGUGUGUGUGUGUGUGUGUGCGCGCGCACGCUGGAAGUAGUCCUCUAUCAGUAGCAGCUGAUAAUUGGUGGUAUGGAUGCUCUGACGCUUAG
rnacentral:lncRNA from 8 species